rnacentral:lncRNA from 1 species
AAAGUCCACUCAAUCGUCCCGCAGUCUCGUCAUGAAAGCCAGCAGUAAGUGUGGCCGCUGCACGAUGCUAGCAGUCCUGUAACCACGCCACUUUUUCUCUACAAAAAUGCCCCGGGCAGUAAGUUUGGCUGCAGCAAAGGGUGAACCAGCUUAUAAAGAAGCAAGUUUGUUUUACAACACUUGCACCAGGUGAGCACUACCAGGAAAGAAUGGCCAAUCCUGAAACCAGAGACCUGCAGACCACGAGAGAUGCAAGCUUUGACGACUGAUAUCACCUGCCAGUGUGGAUGCUAGAGGACAAGGAACACCAGCGAGCAAAGAAAAAUAUAUCAGGAGGCCUCCAUUUUUCAAUAUUUGUUAGCAAGGAGUGAGGCGUAACAUUUAUUUGAGAAAGUCUGGUCAGUAUAUUGUCUUCGGUGCAGCUACAUUAGGGAAGU